AGUGAACGCUGGCGGUAUGCCUAACACAUGCAAGUCGAACGGCAGCACAGUAAGAGCUUGCUCUUACGGUUGGCGAGUGGCGGACGGGUGAGGAAUACAUCGGAAUCUACUUUUUCGUGGGGGAUAACGUAGGGAAACUUACGCUAAUACCGCAUACGACCUACGGGUGAAAUCAGGGGAUCUUCGGACCUUGCGCGAUUGAAUGAGCCGAUGUCGGAUUAGCUAGUUGGCGGGGUAAAGGCCCACCAAGGCGACGAUCCGUAGCUGGUCUGAGAGGAUGAUCAGCCACACUGGAACUGAGACACGGUCCAGACUCCUACGGGAGGCAGCAGUGGGGAAUAUUGGACAAUGGGCGCAAGCCUGAUCCAGCCAUACCGCGUGGGUGAAGAAGGCCUUCGGGUCGUAAAGCCCUUUUGUUGGGAAAGAAAAGCAGCAGGUUAAUACCCCGCUGUUCUGACGGUACCCAAAGAAUAAGCACCGGCUAACUUCGUG
rnacentral:rRNA from 1 species